CGGACGGGUGAGUAAUGAAUAGGAAUCUGCCUAGUAGUGGGGGACAACCUGGUGAAAACCAGGCUAAUACCGCAUACGCCCUACGGGGGAAAGUGGAGGAUCUUCGGACUUCACGCUAUUAGAUGAGCCUAUUCCUGAUUAGCUUGUUGGUAGGGUAAUGGCCUACCAAGGCAACGAUCAGUAGCUGGUCUGAGAGGACGAUCAGCCACACUGGGACUGAGACACGGCCCAG
rnacentral:rRNA from 1 species